rnacentral:rRNA from 1 species
GAUGAACGCUGGCGGCGUGCCUAAUACAUGCAAGUCGAGCGAACAGACGAGGAUCUUGCGCCUCUGACGUUAGCGGCGGACGGGUGAGUAACACGUGGAUAACCUACGUAUAUGACUGGGAUAACUGCGGGAAACCGGAGCUAAUACCGGAUAAUAUAUUGAACCGCAUGGUUCAGUAGUGAAAGACGGUUUUGCGGUGACUUAUAGAUGGAUCCGCGCCGCGUUAGCUAGUUGGUAAGGUAACGGCUUACCGAGGCGACGAUGGGUAGCCGACGCGAGAGCGUGAUGGCCCCCUGUGGAGGUGAGCCGCCACACAGACUCCUACGUGCGGCCCCGGUACGGACUCUUCCCAACUGGGGGGAAUCCUGCCGGAGGGGCGCCAGCUGGAUGCUGCAACUCUUCGGACCGUAUGACUCUCUUCUUAUGGAAGAACACAUGUGUACGUAACUAUGCACGUCUUGACGGUACCUGGUCAGAAAGCACCGGCUAACUACGUG